UCCAGGUGCGGUGGAAUACACCUGUAGUCCCAACUACUCAGGAGGUUAAGGCAAGAGGAUUGCGUGAGCCCAGGAGUUUGAGACUAGCCUGGGCAACAUAGUGAGACCCUUCCAC
rnacentral:sRNA from 1 species